rnacentral:rRNA from 1 species
CUUUUACAAUGAAGAGUUUGAUCCUGGCUCAGGAUGAACGCUAGCUACAGGCUUAACACAUGCAAGUCGAGGGGCAUCAGGAAGAAAGCUUGCUUUCUUUGCUGGCGACCGGCGCACGGGUGAGUAACACGUAUCCAACCUGCCCUUUACUCGGGGAUAGCCUUUCGAAAGAAAGAUUAAUACCCGAUAGUAUAAUGAUUCCGCAUGGUUUCAUUAUUAAAGGAUUCCGGUAAAGGAUGGGGAUGCGUUCCAUUAGGUUGUUGGUGAGGUAACGGCUCACCAAGCCUUCGAUGGAUAGGGGUUCUGAGAGGAAGGUCCCCCACAUUGGAACUGAGACACGGUCCAAACUCCUACGGGAGGCAGCAGUGAGGAAUAUUGGUCAAUGGGCGCUAGCCUGAACCAGCCAAGUAGCGUGAAGGAUGAAGGCUCUAUGGGUCGUAAACUUCUUUUAUAUAAGAAUAAAGUGCAGUAUGUAUACUGUUUUGUAUGUAUUAUAUGAAUAAGGAUCGGCUAACUCCGUGCCAGCAGCCGCGGUAAUACGGAGGAUCCGAGCGUUAUCCGGAUUUAUUGGGUUUAAAGGGAGCGUAGGUGGACUGGUAAGUCAGUUGUGAAAGUUUGCGGCUCAACCGUAAAAUUGCAGUUGAUACUGUCAGUCUUGAGUACAGUAGAGGUGGGCGGAAUUCGUGGUGUAGCGGUGAAAUGCUUAGAUAUCACGAAGAACUCCGAUUGCGAAGGCAGCUCACUGGACUGCAACUGACACUGAUGCUCGAAAGUGUGGGUAUCAAACAGGAUUAGAUACCCUGGUAGUCCACACAGUAAACGAUGAAUACUCGCUGUUUGCGAUAUACAGUAAGCGGCCAAGCGAAAGCAUUAAGUAUUCCACCUGGGGAGUACGCCGGCAACGGUGAAACUCAAAGGAAUUGACGGGGGCCCGCACAAGCGGAGGAACAUGUGGUUUAAUUCGAUGAUACGCGAGGAACCUUACCCGGGCUUAAAUUGCAGUGGAAUGAUGUGGAAACAUGUCAGUGAGCAAUCACCGCUGUGAAGGUGCUGCAUGGUUGUCGUCAGCUCGUGCCGUGAGGUGUCGGCUUAAGUGCCAUAACGAGCGCAACCCUUAUCUUUAGUUACUAACAGGUCAUGCUGAGGACUCUAGAGAGACUGCCGUCGUAAGAUGUGAGGAAGGUGGGGAUGACGUCAAAUCAGCACGGCCCUUACGUCCGGGGCUACACACGUGUUACAAUGGGGGGUACAGAAGGCAGCUAGCGGGUGACCGUAUGCUAAUCCCAAAAGCCUCUCUCAGUUCGGAUCGAAGUCUGCAACCCGACUUCGUGAAGCUGGAUUCGCUAGUAAUCGCGCAUCAGCCACGGCGCGGUGAAUACGUUCCCGGGCCUUGUACACACCGCCCGUCAAGCCAUGGGAGCCGGGGGUACCUGAAGUACGUAACCGCAAGGAUCGUCCUAGGGUAAAACUGGUGACUGGGGCUAAGUCGUAACAAGGUAGCCGUACCGGAAGGUGCGGCUGGAACACCUCCUUUCUGGAG